GCAAGCUUGAGUCUCGUAGAGGGGGGUAGAAUUCCAGGUGUAGCGGUGAAAUGCGUAAAGAUCUGGAGGAAUACCGGUGGCGAAGGCGGCCCCCUGGACGAAGACUGACGCUCAGGUGCGAAAGCGUGGGGAGCAAACAGGAUUAGAUACCCUGGUAGUCCACGCCGUAAACGAUGUCGACUUGGAGGUUGUGCCCUUGAGGCGUGGCUUCCGAGCUAACGCGUUAAGUUGACCGCCUGGGGAGUACGGCCGCAAGGUUAAAACUCAAAUGAAUUGACGGGGGCCCGCACAAGCGGUGGAGCAUGUGGUUUAAUUCGAUGCAACGCGAAGAACCUUACCUGGUCUUGACAUCCACGGAAGUUUUCAGAGAUGAGAAUGUGCCUUCGGGAACCGUGAGACAGGUGCUGCAUGGCUGUCGUCAGCUCGUGUUUGAAAUGUUGGGUUAAGUCCCGCAACGAGCGCAACCCUUAUCCUUUGUUGCCAGCGGUCCGGCCGGGAACUCAAAAGGAGACUGCCAGUGAUAAACUGGAGGAAAGGUGGGGAUGACGUCAAGUCAUCAUGGCCCCUUACGACCAGGGCUACACACGUGCUACAAUGGCGCAUACAAAGAGAAGCGUGAUUUAGGG
rnacentral:rRNA from 1 species